AUUGAACGCUGGCGGCAGGCCUAACACAUGCAAGUCGAGCGGUAGAGAGGUGCUUGCAUCUCUUGAGAGCGGCGGACGGGUGAGUAAUGCCUAGGAAUCUGCCUAGUGGUGGGGGAUAACGUUCGGAAACGGACGCUAAUACCGCAUACGUCCUACGGGAGAAAGCGGGGGAUCUUCGGACCUCGCGCCAUUAGAUGAGCCUAGGUCGGAUUAGCUAGUUGGUGAGGUAAUGGCUCACCAAGGCGACGAUCCGUAACUGGUCUGAGAGGAUGAUCAGUCACACUGGAACUGAGACACGGUCCAGACUCCUACGGGAGGCAGCAGUGGGGGAAUAUUGGACAAUGGGCGGAAAGACCUGAUCCAGCCAUGCCGCCGUGUGUGAGAAAGGUCUUCGGAUUGUAAAG
rnacentral:rRNA from 1 species